UCUGAUGGGAUCCGGUGCAUUA
rnacentral:siRNA from 1 species